GGCAGAUCCAGGCAAUGGUCGGCGUGCAGGUGGCUGAGCACCACCGCGACGCUGUUCGGAUCGGUGACCCGCUGC
rnacentral:tRNA from 1 species